rnacentral:rRNA from 1 species
AGUGAACGCUGGCGGUAGGCCUAGCACAUGCAAGUCGAACGGCAGCACAGAGGAGCUUGCUCCUUGGGUGGCGAGUGGCGGACGGGUGAGGAAUACAUCGGAAUCUACUCUGUCGUGGGGGAUAACGUAGGGAAACUUACGCUAAUACCGCAUACGACCUACGGGUGAAAGCAGGGGAUCUUCGGACCUUGCGCGAUUGAAUGAGCCGAUGUCGGAUUAGCUAGUUGGCGGGGUAAAGGCCCACCAAGGCGACGACCCGUAGCUGGUCUGAGAGGAUGAUCAGCCACACUGGAACUGAGACACGGUCCAGACUCCUACGGGAGGCAGCAGUGGGGAAUAUUGGACAAUGGGCGCAAGCCUGAUCCAGCCAUACCGCGUGGGUGAAGAAGGCCUUCGGGUUGUAAAGCCCUUUUGUUGGGAAAGAAAUCCAUCUGGUUAAUACCCGGAUGGGAUGACGGUACCCAAAGAAUAAGCACCGGCUAACUUCGUGCCAGCCGCCGCGGUAA